rnacentral:rRNA from 1 species
GCUUAACAUGCAAGUCGAACGAUGAACCGCUUUCGGGCGGGGAUUAGUGGCGAACGGGUGAGUAACACGUGGGCAAUCUGCCCUGCACUCUGGGACAAGCCCUGGAAACGGGGUCUAAUACCGGAUAUGACUGUCCAUCGCAUGGUGGAUGGUGUAAAGCUCCGGCGGUGCAGGAUGAGCCCGCGGCCUAUCAGCUUGUUGGUGAGGUAGUGGCUCACCAAGGCGACGACGGGUAGCCGGCCUGAGAGGGCGACCGGCCACACUGGGACUGAGACACGGCCCAGACUCCUACGGGAGGCAGCAGUGGGGAAUAUUGCACAAUGGGCGAAAGCCUGAUGCAGCGACGCCGCGUGAGGGAUGACGGCCUUCGGGUUGUAAACCUCUUUCAGCAGGGAAGAAGCGAAAGUGACGGUACCUGCAGAAGAAGCGCCGGCUAACUACGUGCCAGCAGCCGCGGUAAUACGUAGGGCGCAAGCGUUGUCCGGAAUUAUUGGGCGUAAAGAGCUCGUAGGCGGCUUGUCACGUCGGUUGUGAAAGCCCGGGGCUUAACCCCGGGUCUGCAGUCGAUACGGGCAGGCUAGAGUUCGGUAGGGGAGAUCGGAAUUCCUGGUGUAGCGGUGAAAUGCGCAGAUAUCAGGAGGAACACCGGUGGCGAAGGCGGAUCUCUGGGCCGAUACUGACGCUGAGGAGCGAAAGCGUGGGGAGCGAACAGGAUUAGAUACCCUGGUAGUCCACGCCGUAAACGGUGGGCACUAGGUGUGGGCAACAUUCCACGUUGUCCGUGCCGCAGCUAACGCAUUAAGUG